AUGCUUUGCUUAUCUAUUUAUUUAUUGGGUCACACAUUGUUGUGUGGUUCUUUUACAAGUGAAGCUAAAAAGAAUUGUUCCUCUCGCUAUCCUUUGCACCAUUUAUGGUGUAUUUGGACGUUGGGGUACUACAUUG
rnacentral:snoRNA from 1 species